GUGCUCUGAUGCUUAUUGCACCACAUGUGUUUUUCUUUGAAACAAACUUGCUUUGGCGGUGGGCCCAGCCUGCCGCCAGAGGUCUAAACUUACAACCAAUUUUUUAUCAACUUGUCACACCAGAUUAUUACUUAAUAGUCAAAACUUUCAACAACGGAUCUCUUGGUUCUCGCAUCGAUGAAGAACGCAGCGAAAUGCGAUACGUAAUAUGAAUUGCAGAUAUUCGUGAAUCAUCGAAUCUUUGAACGCACAUUGCGCCCUCUGGUAUUCCGGAGGGCAUGCCUGUUUGAGCGUCGUUUCUCCCUCAAACCGCUGGGUUUGGUGUUGAGCAAUACGACUUGGGUUUGCUUGAAAGACGGUAGUGGUAAGGCGGGAUCGCUUUGACAAUGGCUUAGGUCUAACCAAAAACAUUGCUUGCGGCGGUAACGUCUACCACGUAUAUCUUCAAACUUUGACCUCAAAUCAGGUAGGACUACCCGCUGAACUUAAGCAUAUCAAAAGCCGGGGAGGAA
rnacentral:rRNA from 1 species